rnacentral:rRNA from 1 species
AUUGAACGCUGGCGGCAGGCCUAACACAUGCAAGUCGAACGAGUGGCGGACGGGUGAGUAAUGUCUGGGAAACUGCCUGAUGGAGGGGGAUAACUACUGGAAACGGUAGCUAAUACCGCAUACCAUCCGGUGUGCCCAGAUGGGAUUAGCUAGUAGGUGGGGUAACGGCUCACCUAGGCGCCGCGCCCUAGCUGGUCUGAGAGGAUGACCAGCCACACUGGAACUGAGACACGGUCCAGACUCCUACGGGAGGCAGCAGUGGUGAAUAUUGCACAAUGGGGGCAAGCCUGAUGCAGCCAUGCCGCGUGUGUGAAGAAGGCCUUCGGGUUGUAAAGUACUUUCAGCGAGGAGGCGUUACCCGCAGAAGAAGCACCGGCUAACUCCGUGCCAGCAGCCGCGGUAAUUC